rnacentral:rRNA from 1 species
AACGAACGCUGGCGGCAGGCUUAACACAUGCAAGUCGAGCGCCCCGCAAGGGGAGCGGCAGACGGGUGAGUAACGCGUGGGAAUCUACCGUGCCCUACGGAAUAGCUCCGGGAAACUGGAAUUAAUACCGUAUACGCCCUACGGGGGAAAGAUUUAUCGGGGAAGGAUUGGCCCGCGUUGGAUUAGCUAGUUGGUGGGGUAAAGGCCUACCAAGGCGACGAUCCAUAGCUGGUCUGAGAGGAUGAUCAGCCACAUUGGGACUGAGACACGGCCCAAACUCCUACGGGAGGCAGCAGUGGGGAAUAUUGGACAAUGGGCGCAAGCCUGAUCCAGCCAUGCCGCGUGAGUGAUGAAGGCCUUAGGGUUGUAAAGCUCUUUCACCGAUGAAGAUAAUGACGGUAGUCGGAGAAGAAGCCCCGGCUAACUUCGUGCCAGCCGCCGCGGUAACAC